ACCUUCUCGUCCAUGAUCCCGGCGUUCACCCCCCUCGCCCUCCCCGCAUUGCCACCACCUCCACCACCGCCGCCACCCCACUCUCCGGCCACCGCCGCCUCCUCCCCCGCAUUGCAGCUCCCGCUCAGCCGCCUCAUCACUCCUCUCCCGCGGCGCGUGGCCAACAAUUUUGCGUACCCGGCUCGACACGAGACGGCGUUCCCGGCCUGCGACUACCCAAAGACGAACCGGUUUUAUCCUCGUGCGGCGUCGCGGUCGGCUCGGGCGCACGCACCCGGUCCCCUGACCCGGCCGUCGUGUCGCGCCGCCCACGCGCCAAAUGGACCACUCGGAGCCAAUCCCCAAUAAUUAGCAACUCCCCAAGACCAAGGGGGUUGUUGUUGCGCUUUUUUGGGUGAAAAAACAAGUAGCAGUAUGUUUGU
rnacentral:lncRNA from 1 species